rnacentral:tRNA from 1 species
CCAAAGUGCAAAUUUGGAGAAGAGCCCCAAUAGGGCUCCGGGGCUUCUCCCGUUU